UUUUGUUUUUUCAAAAUCAAUGAAAUAAGCGACGAGGCUCUACACGAUAGCGUGGAUCAUUGAACGAUUGACGCGUCAACGAAACAGAAAUGACCGACCUUUCACUAGUCACGUUUUAUCUUUAAAUUCAAACUCAAUUUAAGAAGAAAAAAUUGUAAUAAAAUUAAAAUUUUUUUUCAAGGUUAAAGAAAGCCAUAAAAAUGUUUGAUAACUAGACAAGACAAUUCCAUCAGAGGGCAGCGAGAAAAUGACUCGAAAUUGGUGUGCUGUGGUUCUCUCUACUAUGUAAUCAUGGCCAAAAAGGCGGUGGAGGAAGGGUCUAUUCAAAAAAACAAAAAAAACGAACGCAUCCGCAAGAAAAGAAAAAAAAAAAAAUACUCCCCCCUUGAAGUCAUGGAAGGGAAACAUUAUAUGUAGUCUAUGUAGUACACACUCUGUGAGCACAUAUGCCUUUUCUAUAGAGAUAAUACGGAGAACGUUCAACAACAUACGCAGUCGGAAAGAUCGGAUGGAGGGGAGAGAAUAAACGCCGGGCCGCCCAACCAUCGAAAAGUAUAGAAUGACUCACGCAAUGGACGUCGCAUAUGCACCGCGGCAGCCGUGAUGAAUAACGAUCGCCUCUUUUUCCGCCUCAAAAAAAAAAAAGGAAAAAAAGAAACGACACAAAUUGAUUGUCGCCACUGCGCUGUCGCCGCCGCGCCGCCACACGCAAGGAGAAGAAAAAAAACCGCCGCCGCUCAACUACCAAACAAAAAGGGAAAAAGAAAAAGAAAAAAAAAAGUAGUUUUGAUUACACCGUCGCGACCGUGACAACAACUAUCUCUCCUUCCUUCCUCGUAUAGUGCUGCUGGGUCCCCCAACAAAUACCCGCCCCUCUUUUUCUUUUUUCUUAUCUGUCCUCUUUUCUCUAAUUUUCUUUUAAGAGGGAACACAUAAAAAAAAAAAAGAGCCAGACUGCAUAAAGUGGAUUUUAAUUUA